AUAAAUACAAUAAUGAACAAUAAUGAUGAAUGGAAAAAAGAGAAAAUUCUUUAGCUAGAUAAGGGG
rnacentral:tRNA from 1 species